rnacentral:rRNA from 1 species
AACAGGAUUAGAUACCCUGGUAGUCCACGCCCUAAACGAUGUCUACUAGUUGUUGGUGGAGUAAAAUCCAUGAGUAACGCAGCUAACGCGUGAAGUAGACCGCCUGGGGAGUACGGUCGCAAGAUUAAAACUCAAAUGAAUUGACGGGGGCCCGCACAAGCGGUGGAUUAUGUGGAUUAAUUCGAUGCAACGCGAAAAACCUUACCUGGCCUUGACAUGUAACGAACUUUCCAGAGAUGGAUUGGUGCUCGAAAGAGAACGUUAACACAGGUGCUGCAUGGCUGUCGUCAGCUCGUGUCGUGAGAUGUUGGGUUAAGUCCCGCAACGAGCGCAGCCCUUGCCAAUAAUUGCCAUCAUUUAGUUGGGCACUUUAUUGGGACUGCCGAUGACAAAUCGGAGGAAGGUGGGGAUGACGUCAAGUCCUCAUGGCCCUUAUGGCCAGGGCUUCACACGUAAUACAAUGGUCGGUACAGAGGGUUGCCAAGCCGCAAGGUGGAGCCAAUCCCAGAAAGCCGAUCGUAGUCCGGAUUGAGGUCUGCAACUCGACCUCAUGAAGUCGGAAUCGCUAGUAAUCGCGGAUCAGCAUGUCGCGGUGAAUACGUUCCCGGGCCUUGUACACACCGCCCGUCACACCAUGGGAGUGGGUUUUACCAGAAGUAGGUAGUCUAACCGCAAGGAGGACGCUUACCACGGUAGUAUUCAUGACUGGGGUGAAGUCGUAACAAGGUAACC